rnacentral:rRNA from 1 species
CCUUUGCUUAACCGCUGGGGCCGCAGGUCGCAGUGACUAAGGGGUCCCGACUGUUUAACAAAAACACAGGGAACCGCAAGUCCGAAAGGAUGUGAACGGUCCCUGAAUCCUGGCCAGCACCGGUACCUGAAACCCGCGUUCAAGUGGGCUAAGGGUCGGUUAGCGCCGGGAGUAACUCUGACUCUCUUAAGGUAGCCAAAUGCCUUGUCGUGUAAGUUACGACGUGCUUGAAUGGACCAACGAGGGCCCUCCUGUCCCCACCUGGUGCCCGGUGAAGCCACAUAACGUGGGCGAACAGUCCACGAUCGCCCAACGGGGAGAGAAGACCCUAUGGAGGUUUACUGCAGCCUGUCGCUGAGAUACGGUCGAAGGCACAAAGCGUAGGUGGGAGCCGUUAAUCCCAGCUUCUCCGGGAGUUGGGGUAGGCGACAAUGCCACACCACCUGCCUUCGGUUGCAUCCCUUACUGGACAAGUGUCCAGGACAACGAUAGCUGGGCAGUUCGGCUGGGGCGGCACCCCCUUGAAAAGAUAUCGAGGGGGCCCAAAGGUCGGCUUAGGCGGGACAGAAACCUGCCGUGAAGUGCAAGGGCAAAAGCCGGCUUGACUGGAUUCUCACCAGCAAGGAAUCCAGAGGCGAAAGCCAGGCCUAGCGAACCUUAAGUACCAACCGUUGAGGGCUUAAGAUGACAGAAAACUUACCCUAGGGAUAACAGGCUUGUUGCGGGCGAGAGUUCCCAUCGACCUCGCAGCUUGGUACCUCGAUGUCGGCUCUUCCUAUCCUGGUUGUGCAGUAGCAGCCAAGGGUGGGCCUGUUCGGCCAUUAAAAGGGAACGUGAGCUGGGUUCAGACCGGCGUGAGCCAGAUCAGUUUCUACCUGUUGGGUGUGUAGGUUGCCUGAGAGUAGGGUGUUCCAAGUACGAGAGGAACGGAGUGUCGCGGCCUAUGGUUUACCGGUUGUCCUACAGGGCAGCGCCGGGCAGCUACGCCGCCGCGGAUAAGAGCUGAAAGCAUCUAAGCUCGAAGCCGCCCUCGAAAAUAGGCAACCAACUUCCGGCGCAGAGCCUGGCAACAGGUUCAUGCUGGAAGCGAGAGCUCCCGUAGAAGACGGGUUUGAUGGAGUAGAGGUGUACGCGCCAAGACUUCGGUCGAGGCGUUCAGCCUGCUACCCCCAACCGCUCGAGUCGCUGGUAAU